rnacentral:lncRNA from 1 species
GGUUGGAUGUCUAAUUGUCCAGGUGGUAAUGAUAGUAUCUUGUACCUGAACCGGUGGCUCACCCAAACCUCUUAGAGUCUGAAUUUUCAAUUAAGAAUUGUAAUCCUCUCUACUGAGAUCAAUUAACAGCAACAAUCAUCAAUUAAAUGCAAGCUUAACCAGAUAAUAUUAAAACUAGUAUUUACUUAACAAACUUAUAACUAAAAUGAAGAACCAUGAUUCGAAACAUCCAAAUUGAAAUAACUAAUUAAUCACCAAAACUGUCAUGAAAUAAGAAACUUGAGAAUUCACUGACUCACAUCUCAAACGACUUAACAAACUAAAAAAAAACUCAAUUAAAAAGACUAAGAAAGAAGAUUAUCAAGGAAAAUUAGUAAAAAAAAUAUAAAAUAAAGGAAAGCUUACUGAAAAAGAAAAUUCAGGCCAGCCUCAUUAUUUUCCAAUCUCGACUACUCUUAGGGUCGUUCGAUCUCUAUUAGGUAUUAAUUCCUUGCGAGGGAGGUCCAUGGACCCUUUGACAUCAGUUGCAUGCACUGUGGCCAUUUUAGGGUUUUGGCCGGAGAAAUUGAAAUGGAUAUUCGAGCCGUUCUAGCCCCAUUCGAGCCAAGAAGCUAAGGGAUUUGUGUAGGGGAGGUCUAGACGGUCCCUGGUGUUAAAUUGGGACCAUUUGGCAUAACCGGUGACUUGGCAGGAAAAUCUUCUUAUGAAGAUUCGACGAGAGAUAUGGGAAGAUUCGAGGGAAACCAAUUUGAUAUUUGGAAUGAGGAAUAGAAAGAGAAUCUAGGGGGUUAUUUUGGUGGCCGUUGGCGUAGUUAGCAUUUUCCGGCAGCAGCUCCGCCGGCGGAGUGACGUGGGUGAUACGAGGAGGAAAAGGAUUGGUCUUUGACCCAAUGAAAGGUCUUCGACCAUUAUAUGAGAUUUGAAAGGUUAAGUCUCAGCCAUUGGAUUGAGGAGAAUUGACAAUCGUUAUUGAAUAAUGCCG